rnacentral:rRNA from 1 species
CCUUGACAUGCAGAGAACUUUCAGAGAUGGAUUGGUGCCUUCGGGAACUCUGACACAGGUGCUGCAUGGCUGUCGUCAGCUCGUCGUCGUGAGAUGGUUGGGUUAAGUCCCGUAACGAGCGCAACCCUUGUCCUUAGUUACCAGCACGUUAUGGUGGGCACUCUAAGGAGACUGCCGGUGACAAACCGGAGGAAGGUGGGGAUGACGUCAAGUCAUCAUGGCCCUUACGGCCUGGGCUACACACGUGCUACAAUGGUCGGUACAAAGGGUUGCCAAGCCGCGAGGUGGAGCUAAUCCCAUAAAACCGAUCGUAGUCCGGAUCGCAGUCUGCAACUCGACUGCGUGAAGUCGGAAUCGCUAGUAAUCGUGAAUCAGAAUGUCACGGUGAAUACGUUCCCGGGCCUU